UCCAGGCAAUUGAAGUCAGUUCUAUUGUUUCCAGACAGUUGAAAGUUUCUGGGUCAACUGCCUGGAAGGAAUUUUUUAUUUAUUCCAGGCAGUCAAAGGAAUUUCCUCUUACUUUCAGAAUUAGGCCCCUUCAAUUCCUGGAAGUAUUUUUUCAUUUUCUUCUAUAUGUAUUUCUCAAUUGAGGUUAUUCCUGAUUUUUUACAGGCAAUUGAAGUCAGUUCUAUUGUUUCCAGACAGUUGAAAGUUCCUCGGUCAACUGCCCGGAAGUAAUUCUUUAUUUAUUCCAGGCAGUCAAAGGAAUUUCCUCUUACUUCCAGAAUUAUGCCCCUUCAAUUGCCUAGAAGUAUUUUUUCAUUUUCUUCUAUAUGUAUUUCUCAAUUGAGAUUAUUCCUGAUUUUUUCCAGGCAAUUGAAGUCAGUUCUAAUGUUUCCAGACAGUUGAAAGUUCCUCGGUCAACUGCCUGGAAGUAAUUCUUUAUUUAUUCCAGGCAGUUGAAGGAAUUUCCUCUUACUUUCAGAAUUUUGUCCCUUCAAUUGCCUGGAAGUAUUUUUUCAUUUUCUAUAUGUAUUUCUCAAUUGAGGUUAUUCCUAAUUUUUUCCAGCCAAUUUAAGUCAGUUCUAUUGUUUCCAGACAGUUGAAAGUUCCUUGGUCAACUGCCUGGAAGUAAUUCUUUAUUUAUUCCAGGCAGUCAAAGGAAUUUCCUCUUACUUCCAGAAUUAGGCCCCUUCAAUUGCCUGGAAGUAUUUUUUAAUUUUCUAUAUGUAUUUAUCAAUUGAGGUUAUUCCUAAUUUUUUCCAGGCAAUUGAAGUCAGUUCUAAUGUUUCCAGACAGUUGAAAGUUCCUUGGUCAACUGCCUGGAAGUAAUUAUUUAUUUAUUCCAGGCAGUUGAAGGAAUUUCCUCUUGCUUCCAGAAUUAUGCCCCUUCAAUUGCCUGGAAGUAUAUUUUCAUUUUCUUCUAUAUGUAUUUCUCAAUUGAGGUUAUUCCUAAUUUUUUCCAGGCAAUUGAAGUCAGUUCUAAUGUUUCCAGAGAGUUAAAAGUUCCUCGGUCAACUGCCCAGAAGUAAUUAUUUAUUUAUUCCAGGCAGUCAAAGGAAUUUCCUCUUAUUUCCAGAAUUAGGCCCCUUCAAUUGCCUGGAAGUAUAUUUUCAUUUUCUUCUAUAUGUAUUUCUCAAUUGAGGUUAUUCCUAAUUUUUUCCAGGCAAUUGAAGUCAGUUCUAUUGUUUCCAGACAGUUGAAAGUCCUCGGUCAACUGCCUGGAAGGAAUUAUUUAUUUAUUCCAAGCAGUCGAAGGAAUUUCCUUUACUUCCAGAAUUAGGUCCCUUCAAUUGCCCGGAAGUAUUUUUUCAUUUUCUAUAUGUAUUUCUCAAUUGAGGUUAUUCCUAAUUUUUUCCAGCCAAUUUAAGUCAGUUCUAUUGUUUCCAGACAGUUGAAAGUUCCUCGGUCAACUGCCUGGAAGUAAUUAUUUAUUUAUUCCAGGCAGUUGAAGGAAUUUCCUCUUACUUCCAGAAUUAGGCCCCUUCAAUUGCCUGGAAGUAUUUUUUCAUUUUCUAUAUGUAUUUCUCAAUUGAGGUUAUUCCUAAUUUUUUCCAGGCAAUUGAAGUCAGUUCUAUUGUUUCCAGACAGUUGAAAGUUGCUCGGUCAACUGCCUGGAAGUAAUUAUUUAUUUAUUCCAGGCAGUCGAAGGAAUUUCCUCUUACUUCCAGAAUUAUGCCUCUUCAAUUGCCUGGAAGUAUUUUUUCAUUUUCUUCUAUAUGUAUUUCUCAAUUGAGGUUAUUCCUAAUUUUUUCCAGGCAAUUGAAGUCAGUUCUAUUGUUUCCAGACAGUUGAAAGUUCCUCGGUCAACUGCCUGGAAGGAAUUAUUUAUUUAUUCCAGGCAGUCGAAGGAAUUUCCUCUUACUUCCAGAAUUAGGCCCCUUCAAUUGCCUGGAAGUAUUUUUUCAUUUUCUUCUAUAUGUAUUUCUCAAUUGAGGUUAUUCCUAAUUUUUUCCAGGCAAUUAAAGUCAGUUCUAGUGUUUCCAGACAGUUGAAAGUUCCUCGGUCAACUGCCCGGAAGUAAUUAUUUAUUUAUUCCAGGCAGUCAAAGGAAUUUCCUCUUACUUCCAGAAUUAUCCCCCUUCAAUUGCCUGGAAGUAUUUUUUCAUUUUCUUCUAUAUGUAUUUCUCAAUUGAGGUUAUUCCUAAUUUUUUCCAGCCAAUUUAAGUCAGUUCUAUUGUUUCCUGACAGUUGAAAGUUCCUCGGUCAACUGCCUGGAAUGAAUUAUUUAUUUAUUCCAGGCAGUCAAAGUGAAAAUCAAGUUUACACUUGAUAAUUUAUUUGAUUCCUAGGUCUAUAGUACCUACAUGCUUUUAAGUUAUCUACUGUUAAAACUUCAAGUUCAUCCACUGUUUUUCAAUGUCAACUUUAGCUUCAAUCAAUGCUGUAGACUGUAUUUAAAAAAAAGCCAAAAAAGUAACUCACAUAUGUAUAGUAUAUUAUCAAGGAGGCAUAUCACAAGGUACCAAACUCCAUUGAAUUGAAAAACAAGUCAAAGUUCCCCGGACACUUAAGACAUUAUGGGUAAAAUCUCUGAUAAAAAUAGCCAAAAUUUCAAUACAUUACUCGACACUAUACAUUCAUUAACCUAGUUUUACAUUUAAGUGUAGAUUUUACAGUGGUAGUUGCUCGACUAACAAAAGACCUUAAUUUAUAAUUUACUAUGGUAGAUCUCCUAGAAAUUUUCUUGUGGAUGAAUCAAUGGCCUUAACUUAAAAUGAUGAUAACUCGUGAAGGGGUGAUUUGUUUAAAUUUUCAUUGACAGUCUCGGGUAGAUUAAGGUCUUGUAGAACUACAAUUUUAUACCCAUUAAUGGUGAGCAACAAAUUAUUUAUUUAAGACAGAGGUACAAAAAAUGUGUUCAUGGGUCAAGGUAGGUUUUUAGGACCCAAAAAAUAGAGUACUUUGACACUGUAACAAUGACGAUAGGUGUAUUUUAUGUAUAGGUAUUUAGUCUCCUAACUUAAAUUGUGCAGUAGGCACUCCUACAUUUAAUUACCGUUGUAUAGUAUUUGUAUAAAUAAAUAAAUAAAUAAAAAACGAAAACAUAAUGGCGGUAUAUAAAUUCCCCAUAG
rnacentral:lncRNA from 1 species